GAAAAAGAUGGUGCGUCAUUAUGAUUUACGAGGAGAAUAUUUGUUUUCUGUUUCCAGAUUGCAGAUUCUGUUGGGGCUUUUCUCAUGAUGGAUAUGGCUCACAUAAGUGGUCUCGUUGCUGCAUCUGUACUUGCCGAACCAUUUGAAUAUUGUGAUGUUGUAACAACCACCACUCACAAGUCAUUACGAGGUCCCAGAGGUGGCAUGAUUUUCUUCAAGAAAGAUC